CCUACGGGGGGCAGCAGUGGGGAAUAUUGCACAAUGGGGGAAACCCUGAUGCAGCGACGCCGCGUGAAGGAAGAAGUAUUUCGGUAUGUAAACUUCUAUCAGCAGGGAAGAAAAUGACGGUACCUGACUAAGAAGCCCCGGCUAACUACGUGCCAGCAGCCGCGGUAAUACGGAGGGGGCAAGCGUUAUCCGGAUUUACUGGGCGUAAAGGGAGCGUAGGCGGUUUAGCAAGUCAGAAGUGAAAGCCCGGGGCUCAACUCCGGGACUGCUGUUGAAACUGUUGAACUAGAGUGCAGGAGAGGUAGGCGGAAUUCGUAGUGUAGCGGUGAAAUGCGUAGAUAUUAGGAGGAACACCAGUGGCGAAGGCGGCUUACUGGACUGUAAAUGACGCUGAGGCUCGAAAGCGUGGGGAGCAAACAGGAUUAGAUACCCUUGUAGUC
rnacentral:rRNA from 1 species